UCUAUGAUAUAUAUCUAUUAUCUUGCAUCAUCAACUCUCAAUUGGAAGAACUUCACUUGCCAUUGCCCACAUGUUUGUACUGUCCUCCCUUAACAUGGGGAUAUAAUCCUUUUCCACUAACAUGCUGAGAGAUGCAAAACGUUGAAUAUUAGGAAUGGGUAACAAGGUUGAAGCAUCAGUUGCACUGUCCUCUCUUUGCAUAGAUUUUUGUUGCAGUGCAUAAUCCAAGUACCACAGCACAUCAGGCUUAUCAGCACCAUU
rnacentral:lncRNA from 1 species